CCAGGGCGCGAAGGGGCCCGAGGUGAAAGGAUCUGACGCAGCCGGAGAUGCAAAAGGAAAGGGGUGUGGAAAGGCGGGAGAACAGGGAAAAGACCAUGGAAAAGAUCAUGGAAAAGAUCAUGGAAAAGGUGCACCGGCUAAACCAGAAGAAAAGAAAGGAGGUCAUGGUCAUGGUCCCGCUAAAUGAUGAAGAACUCCUUGAAUCAACAUUCUGUAAUAAUGAUUGUAAAGAAUUAAAUACAUAAUCUUUAAUAAACUAAUCCAGAAAAAGGCAA